UGGGGAAUUUUGCGCAAUGGGGGAAACCCUGACGCAGCAACGCCGCGUGGAGGAUGAAGUCCUUCGGGACGUAAACUCCUUUCGAUCGGGACGAUUAUGACGGUACCGGAAGAAGAAGCCCCGGCUAACUUCGUGCCAGCAGCCGCGGUAAUACGAGGGGGGCGAGCGUUGUUCGGAAUUAUUGGGCGUAAAGGGUGCGUAGGCGGUUUGGUAAGUCUUAUGUGAAAUCUAUGGGCUCAACUCAUAGACUGCAUGAGAAACUGCCGGGCUUGAGUGUGGGAGAGGUGAGUGGAAUUUCCGGUGUAGCGGUGAAAUGCGUAGAUAUCGGAAGGAACACCUGUGGCGAAAGCGGCUCACUGGACCACAACUGACGCUGAUGCACGAAAGCUAGGGGAGCAAACAGGAUUAGAUACCCUGGUAGUCCUAGCCCUAAACCAUGAUUGCUUGGUGUGACGGGUACCCAAUCCCGCCGUGCCGUAGCUAACGCGUUAAGCAAUCCGCCUGGGGAGUACGGUCGCAAGGCUG
rnacentral:rRNA from 1 species